rnacentral:rRNA from 1 species
UCAUUAAGCGGUGGAAAAGAAACUAACCAGGAUUCUCUUAGUAACGGCGAGUGAACAGAGAAGAGCCCAGUAUCGAAGCCUAUUCGCGCUUGUGAAUAAGGCAAUGUGAUAUUAAGAUGUUUGCCUGGGGCGGUCGGUCUAUUCAAAGUCCAGCAUAGAUUAUGGCUCUGGAUCUUGUCCAUAGUGGGUGAAAGACCCGUUCGGAUAGACUGUCAGGCAUGUUGACUGCCCUCAGAUGCAUUCAUCGUGGAGUCGGAUAGCUUGAGAAUGCUGUCCAAAGUGGGUGGUAAACUCCAUCCAAGGCUAAAUAUUUGCACGAGUCCGAUAGCUGACAAGUACCGUGAGGGAAAGUUGAAAAGUACUCUGAAGAGAGAGUAAACAGUACGUGAAGCCGCUUGCAUGGAAGCUGGUGGAGUCAAGCUGCAUGCCUCUAGAAUGAAGCCAGUGAUUGUUGUGUUCAAAGCUGAGGGAGUCGGGCGACUGUCUUGAAAACAGGCAGACAGAUUUAUCUGUUUCCGGUGAGCACUGGUCUGUGCCUACGGAGUUGACCGACGCGCUCCUCUGUGUCGCUGGCGUAUUUUCUCUAUGGCAGGCAUCACGAUCGACAAUGUUGUUGGCGUGUGGUAGUCUAACCAUGGGCUGUGGGUUCUGAAUCCAUGCCCGGUGGAAAGGCAGGUGGCUUGCUGGCUGGUCUCGUGCUGGUCAGUGAGUUCUUUGCGGCUGCGGCCAGCUGACUACCAAUGUGUUAUGCUCACAGCUAUACAAUUUGUCGUUGCUGAAUGAGGCCCGGCGCUUUUGCUGGUCGUCUGGCGGGCUGCGCGGGUGUGUUUCCAUUUCUGAUGGUGCAUGCCUGUUGCUGGCCUGUGAGAGUUGUGCUAGCGAUUGUGCCAGGGCGUGAAUCGUGGUGUUGUGGUAGACGUUCCAC